rnacentral:rRNA from 1 species
UACGAAGGGGGGCUAGCGUUGCUCGGAAUCACUGGGCGUAAAGGGCGCGUAGGCGGCCAUAUAAGUCGGGGGUGAAAGCCUGUGGCUCAACCACAGAAUUGCCUCGAUACUGUAUGGCUCGAGACCGGAAGAGGUAAGUGGAACUGCGAGUGUAGAGGUGAAAUUCGUAGAUAUUCGCAAGAACACCAGUGGCGAAGGCGGCUUACUGGUCCGGUUCUGACGCUGAGGCGCGAAAGCGUGGGGAGCAAACAGG